GGGCCCGUGGCGCAGCCCGGAUGGCGCGGCAAGUGGAAAGCACCCGCAGGGCUUCGGGCUUAUGGGGGAAACCUGUAGGUCGUGGGUUCAAAUCCCACCGGGCCCG
rnacentral:tRNA from 1 species